rnacentral:rRNA from 1 species
UACGGGGGGGGGCAAGCGUUGUUCGGAAUUACUGGGCGUAAAGGCGCGUAGGCGGCCUGCUAAGUCGGACGUGAAAUCCCUCGGCUCAACCGAGGAACUGCGUCCGAUACUGGUGGGCUUGAAUCCGGGAGAGGGAUGUGGAAUUCCAGGUGUAGCGGUGAAAUGCGUAGAUAUCUGGAGGAACACCGGUGGCGAAGGCGGCAUCCUGGACCGGUAUUGACGCUGAGGCGCGAAGGCCAGGGGAGCCAAA